CCUACGGGAGGCAGCAGUGAGGAAUAUUGGUCAAUGGACGAGAGUCUGAACCAGCCAAGUAGCGUGAAGGAUGACUGCCCUAUGGGUUGUAAACUUCUUUUAUAUGGGAAUAAAAUGUUCCACGUGUGGGAUUUUGUAUGUACCAUAUGAAUAAGGAUCGACUAACUCCGUGCCAGCAGCCGCGGUAAUACGGAGGAUCCGAGCGUUAUCCGGUUUUAUUGGGUUUAAAGGGAGCGUAGGUGGAUUGUUAAGUCAGUUGUGAAAGUUUGCGGCUCAACCGUAAAAUUGCAGUUGAAACUGGCAGUCUUGAGUACAGUAGAGGUGGGCGGAAUUCGUGGUGUAGCGGUGAAAUGCGUAGAUAUCACGAAGAACUCCGAUUGCGAAGGCAGUUCACUGGACUGCAACUGACACUGAGGCUCGAAAGUGUGGGUAUCAAACAGGAUUAGAUACCCUGGUAGUC
rnacentral:rRNA from 1 species